UGCAGCUAUGAGAUCGUUGCACUGGCAACAAGCACCCAAUGAAGAAAAGCGCAGUCGGUGUUAGCCCCUUAGAUCUGCCAGAAAGUGGUUCAUCUCAUAAACUGGCAUUUUACCAGCACUCGUUUUGAGCCUCGUGCUGAUCUUAUGUCAUGUAAAAUAAAGCAAACUAGGUUGACCUUAUUUGGGAGUCGCUUUCUAUUUUCAAUGCCUACUUGUUGCACAAAUGGAAUGUUUCAUUUCUCCGAGGAGUCAGUUUGCUAUUGAUGAUGACAUGAUGUUUCAAUAAAUUGUCGAC
rnacentral:lncRNA from 1 species